AUUGAACGCUGGCGGCAGGCCUAACACAUGCAAGUCGAGCGAGCGGCGGACGGGUGAGUAAUGUAUGGGGACUGCCCGAUAGAGGGGGAUAAACACUGGAAACGGUAGCUAAUACCGCCUACUAUCGGACAAACCCUAUGGGAUUAGCUCGUAGGUGAGGUAAUGGCUCACCUGGGCGACGAUCACUAGCUGGUAGGAGAGGAUGAUGAGCCACACGGGGACUGAGAAACGGCCCAGACUCCUACGGAGGCAGCAGUGGGGAAUAUUGCACAAUGGGCGCAAGCCUGAUGCAGCCAUGCCGCGGGUAUGAAGAAGGCCCUAGGGUUGUAAAGUACUUUCAGUCGGGAGGCGUUACCGACAGAAGAAGCACCGGCUAACUCCGUGCCAGCAGCCGCGGUAAUAC
rnacentral:rRNA from 1 species